GAUGAACGCUGGCGGCGUGCCUAAUACAUGCAAGUCGAGCGAACAGACGAGGAGCUUGCUCCUUUGACGUUAGCGGCGGACGGGUGAGUAACACGUGGGUAACCUACCUAUAAGACUGGGAUAACUUCGGGAAACCGGAGCUAAUACCGGAUAAUAUUUCGAACCGCAUGGUUCGAUAGUGAAAGAUGGCUUUGCUAUCACUUAUAGAUGGACCUGCGCCGUAUUAGCUAGUUGGUAAGGUAACGGCUUACCAAGGCAACGAUACGUAGCCGACCUGAGAGGGUGAUCGGCCACACUGGAACUGAGACACGGUCCAGACUCCUACGGGAGGCAGCAGUAGGGAAUCUUCCGCAAUGGGCGAAAGCCUGACGGAGCAACGCCGCGUGAGUGAUGAAGGUCUUCGGAUCGUAAAACUCUGUUAUUAGGGAAGAACAAACGUGUAAGUAACUGUGCACGUCUUGACGGUACCUAAUCAGAAAGCCACGGCUAACUACGUGCCAGCAGCCGCGGUAAUACGUAGGUGGCAAGCGUUAUCCGGAAUUAUUGGGCGUAAAGCGCGCGUAGGCGGUUUUUUAAGUCUGAUGUGAAAGCCCACGGCUCAACCGUGGAGGGUCAUUGGAAACUGGAAAACUUGAGUGCAGAAGAGGAAAGUGGAAUUCCAUGUGUAGCGGUGAAAUGCGCAGAGAUAUGGAGGAACACCAGUGGCGAAGGCGACUUUCUGGUCUGUAACUGACGCUGAUGUGCGAAAGCGUGGGGAUCAAACAGGAUUAGAUACCCUGGUAGUCCACGCCGUAAACGAUGAGUGCUAAGUGUUAGGGGGUUUCCGCCCCUUAGUGCUGCAGCUAACGCAUUAAGCACUCCGCCUGGGGAGUACGACCGCAAGGUUGAAACUCAAAGGAAUUGACGGGAACCCGCACAAGCGGUGGAGCAUGUGGUUUAAUUCGAAGCAACGCGAAGAACCUUACCAAAUCUUGACAUCCUUUGACCCUUCUAGAGAUAGAAGUUUCCCCUUCGGGGGACAAAGUGACAGGUGGUGCAUGGUUGUCGUCAGCUCGUGUCGUGAGAUGUUGGGUUAAGUCCCGCAACGAGCGCAACCCUUAAGCUUAGUUGCCAUCAUUAAGUUGGGCACUCUAAGUUGACUGCCGGUGACAAACCGGAGGAAGGUGGGGAUGACGUCAAAUCAUCAUGCCCCUUAUGAUUUGGGCUACACACGUGCUACAAUGGACAAUACAAAGGGCAGCGAAACCGCGAGGUCAAGCAAAUCCCAUAAAGUUGUUCUCAGUUCGGAUUGUAGUCUGCAACUCGACUACAUGAAGCUGGAAUCGCUAGUAAUCGUAGAUCAGCAUGCUACGGUGAAUACGUUCCCGGGUCU
rnacentral:rRNA from 1 species